rnacentral:tRNA from 1 species
GAGGCUGUAGCGCAGAGGUCGUCGCGCCUUGACUGCAAGCUGGAGGACGUCGGUUCGAAUCCGACCAGUCUCG